rnacentral:lncRNA from 1 species
GAGCAAGCUUCCUUCAGAGACCAGUUAUUUAAUACAAGUCUUUCUAAGGGGCAGCUUCUUGUACAGCUUUGUCUGAUAAGCAUGUCUUGAAGGAAUAAUGAAGACUGACUGUAAGCAUCUAGAUUUGUCAAGUAGAAAGUCAUCAGUUCUACAGAGGAAGCAGCUUCAACAGACACGUGAAACAUUUGGUGCCAAAACCCGGGUCAGCGGGACUCCUUCGGGAGACCAGUCCACUGUCCUCAUCCUCGCUCUGUGA